GUCUAUGGUCAUACCAUCCUGAACGUGCCCGAUCUCGUCUGAUCUCGGAAGCUAAUCAGGGUCGGGCCUGGUUAGUACUUGGAUGGGAGAAUACAUUGUCCCCUGUCCUCCUGCCCUUGUGUCUUAAACC
ensembl:rRNA 5S_rRNA 5S ribosomal RNA